GUAAUACCCCCAUUUACUUUGUCAAUAGAAUCAACAUGCACAAGUUUAUGUAUCCAACUUAAUUCAAUGCUUUUAUAAGGGUCUACCUGGGGUUAACAAGUAUAAAGAAUAAUAGAGCAGUACUAUGGAAAAAGGGGUAAAAAAAUAAAGAAUAGAGACUAAUUGGGUGCUAUAGCCAUGAUAGUAAAAAGAAUAGAGAAUAAUGAGUCAAAUGUAUACAGAAUAGAGAGAAAUAGCUUAAAAAUAGAGAAUAGAGACCCUCAUAAAUUUGAUAUAGAGAAUUUCAUUAACAAUAAUGAUCUUAAACCAUUAAUGCAUUGUAUUUUAAUGUAAAUGCGAUAAUUGGGUGUAAUAUUAUAAAGAAUAGAGAAGAAUUAAGC
rnacentral:lncRNA from 1 species